GCCCACCACCCCUCCCGCCCCGCCACCAUGAGCCCUCGGCUCCGCGGCCUCGUCCUCCUCCUCCUCGCGGCCCUGCCAGGGCUGCGGGCGGACGCGCAGCUGAUCGAGGACGGAGGGGGCCUCCAGCCGCCCGGCGGGAGCCUCCGCCUCUCCUGCAAGGGAACCGAGUUCGACUUAAGCAACUUCGACAUGUACUGGAUCCGACAAGCACCCGGCAAGGGGCUCGAGUACGUCGCAUAUAUUAGCAGCAUUAGUAGCACAGGCUAUGCGGAUGCGGUGCAAGGGCGCUUCACCAUCUCCUGGGACGACGCGCAGAGCACGCUCUACCUGCAGAUGAACAGCCUCAAGGCCGAGGACACCGGCACCUACUACUGCGCGAAAGCUGCUGCUAGUUAUGGUGAUGGUGGUGAAGCCAACCCUGACUGCAGUCCAGAUGCUGAUGAGAUGCACGCACAAGUGCUGAUGACCAUGAGCUGUCCAAGGUGA